CACCUCUAGCAUAAAAAGUAUUAGAGGCACCGCCUGCCCAGUGACAUAAGUUAAACGGCCGCGGUAUCCUGACCGUGCAAAGGUAGCAUAAUCAUUUGUUCUCUAAUUAAGGACUUGUAUGAAUGGCGCAACGAGGGUUUAACUGUCUCUUACAUUCAAUCAAUGAAAUUAACCUUUCCGUGAAGAGGCGGAAAUAAACAAAUAAGACGAGAAGACCCUAUGGAGCUUUAAUUACACACUCUAUGAAUUUUAAAACAAUCCAACAGGAAACAACAAAUAAUUAUUUAAGAGUUAAAAAUUUUGGUUGGGGUGACCUCGGAGCAUAAUAAAACCUCCGAAAGACUAACAUAAUAGACCUACAAGUCAACAUUAAUCAUGAGUCUCAAUUGACCCAGAAAUCUGAUCAAUGGACCAAGUUACCCUAGGGAUAACAGCGCAAUCUUAUUGGAGAGUCCAUAUCGAUAAUAAGGUUUACGACCUCGAUGUUGGAUCAGGACAUCCUAAUGGUGCAGAAGCUAUUAACGGUUCGUUUGUUCAACGAUUAAAGUCCU
rnacentral:rRNA from 1 species